ACACAGUGCAUGUUAAGCAUUGUCUGGUUCUUCAUUACAUUUUCAACAUUUAUUAUUACUUCCUUUAUUUAUUCUGCUUCUAUAUGCAUUAAAAAUGUAAGUAUCUGCAUAUUAUAAUAACCUUAUCUUUUUUUAUUAGUGAAGAUCACUACGCCAUCAAUUAAUUUUCUUGCCCACUUUUCUUUUUUGUAAUGUAACCAUUCUUUUUCCUGGUCUUCUGUAGCUUUCUCAAUCAUCCUUUCAAUUUCCUCUUUCAAAGAGUUUAGCUCUCUACCAGUAGUGUCAGCUAACAUGUUCCAUAAGUAUUUACUUUUCAUGUGGUAUAUCUUUGCUAACAUUUGCACUUUUAUGUAUAUCGGCAUGUUACUUGUCAGCAUGUACAGUGCUGCAUGUGAUACAGUUCUGUAUGGUAUGUAAGUUCUAGUUAAUGCUGCUCUUUGCUCUCUUGUCAUUAUUUACUUAUUCUUAAUCAUCUUUAAGGCUCCAGCUCCAUAUUGGUAUAGCAUACAUUAAUACGGAUUCCCAAAUAUUAUAAUAAAGUCUUCUGGCAUGGUUCAACGAUCCUCCCACAUUUGAUAACAGGCUUCUCAUUGCUCCUACAAUCGCAUUGGCUCUCGUGCAUACUUUUUCAAUGUUAUGGUUCCCUAUCUUGAUAUCUAUUACUUUAGGUAUUCUCAUACCUGUUACCAGUAUAAUUUCAGUUUUUCUAUUGCCCAACUGUAGUUGUUCAUUGUACACCAUUUGUUCAUUGCUUCAUUUAAUUUAAAAUUGAUAUUCUUACCUUUCUUUAUUAAAGAUAUGAGAGCAAAGUCUUCCGCAAAGACAAUUGACGUUAAUUUGUCUAUUCUUUUCAGGUUGUUCAACAACUAUCGUACACCAGAUUGCAUAAAAAUAGACCCAGAAUCAAUCCCUGUGGAACUCCCAUGUACACAUAUCUUUCAAUUGUCCCAAAUAAGUUUGCUACUGCUAUUUUUCUUCCAGAUAAGUAAUUGCGUAAGAGUAUCAUAAGUUUAUCAGAUACUUUCCUUUCUUUAACCUCAUUUAGAAUAUUUAACCAUUUUAUUGAAUUAAAGGCAUUUUUGAUGUUUAUAGUGACUAGUAUGCAUACUAAAUUCUUUUUCUUGCGGGUAUCAGCUAUCCUCAUUACUUAACAGCCAGCAUCUACAGUACUGUGUUUCCUCCUAACACCAAACUGAUUAUUAUUAAAUAGAUCCAUUCCAAUACAUCUCUCAAUCAGUUUUUUGAAGAUGUUUUCCCACAUUUUACUUAGCGCAGGUAAGAUACUAAUCGGCCUAUAUGCUCUGGGCUGUAAUGGAUCUUCCCCAGAUUUCAGCAGAAACCCUAGCUAUUUUCAAUAUUCCCGGAAUUCUCCCAUCCUUGGUGAUAUUAUUAAGCAUUUGGCAUACUUCACUUGUUCUCUUCUGUGCAAUCAACUUAAUAAUAUCAGCUGGAACUCCAUCCUACACAACCACUUUCUUAGAUUUACCUUUCUGGCUGCUUCAAUUACGUCUUCAUUACUGAUCGUUAAGUCAGUAUUUAUUUCAUCUUCGUCAUUAUUGUGUAAAAUUUCUCCUGCCGGCAAUGUCGGUUUCGUCGUAAAUAGCGUUUCUAUUAUUUUUGUAACAGAUAUGUCCUUAGGUGCGGCUCUCUUAGCUAUUUUUGCCAUGACGCUUUGUACGGUUUACCCCAUGGGUCCUAUUCUAAAGUGGUACAGUACUCAUUCCAUGCUUUUGCUUUGCUCUUUUUGAUUUCAUUGAUCAAUUCUUUUCUAUUUUUUUUUUUUUGUAAAUACUCAAUAAUUCGUUGUAAUAUUCUCUGUUUCUUUUUUUGGCUCUAAUAGCUUUUCUUCAACAUUUGUUCGUUUUUAUCCUAAUUUUUUCUAUCCCUUUGCUUCACCAAGAGUUCGCUUCUGUUGCCAAGCUUACAGCCGUGCAUUGAUAGGUCAUAUAUCCAAUCAUGUGACAUCUGAAGCAUUUUGUUAUUUUAGGAAUGACCCUUGUUGCAGCGAUGGUUAACCCCAUUCUGUUUUUUAUUAUUUUACUAUCAUCUAGCAUAUAGGACGAUGGUAUUGUCACGGAUCGAAUUUUUGUCUGGUCAUGGAUAGCGACGUUUGUGUGGUUAUUGAUCUGCUUUCGCAGACUAUUCUUUUAUCCGCCCUACCCCUAGUCGCCUUUUUUUUCUUUAGGUUCUUCAUCUACUCAACCAAAGACGUAGCAUGUCCAUCAGAGUUAUUGCCCCAAUUCUUACAAUUUCUGGGUCCUUUUUCUAUAACAAAUGCAAUCUUCUUUUUAACGUAUUAAUAUUCAUUACUGCCUCCAUCAGUAUUUCAAUUAGUAGCUUUAGCUCAUCUGUUUUAUAGUGAUUGAUUCAGCGUCUUCUGAUAGAGAUGCUUUAUCUUCUUUUUCUUGUUUUCCUCUCCUCUUGUUUAUGUUCUGCAUUGAGGUGGUUUUAUUUAAAUCCGCCUUAUCUUUUGCACGCCUCGGUGCAAUUAGUGUACUAUAGUUACUGCAAUCAGAAUCGCCCGGUCUGUCAUCCUCGAUUUUACUGAUUGCAGUUAUUUUAUUUUUGUUUCUUUCAAUAGGACUCUUCGCCUCCUCUUCAUACUCCUUUUUGGAAUGAACAGGUCUGUUUCCUUUCUUGCACUCCUCUUUAGAUGUGGUAAUAUUUUGCACGUUAUCUUUAGUUUCCUCUUUCUUGUGGUUCUCCGUAUUCCGUUUCCAGUUUCCUCAUCAGAGUCGUUUGGACUGGUGUCUUCUUCUUUCUCCGUUUCCUCCACGUCGUUCCUCCAGUCAUAUGAUGACCGUCGAGUCGAGUCUGAUGAAAUUUCCACUAUGUGACAGAUAUAACUCUACAAAAUAUGUUGUUUAAAUUUUCAUUAGAGGCUCAGAUAAAAAGAUUGUAAAAAGUGACCUUUACUAUUUUCUUCAUGAUUCCGAACGCUUGUAAUUCUCUCAAUACAUUAUCUAGUAAACUAUUCCUCCUAAUUUCCACCCCAAAAACUCAGGUUAUUUGGCCCAGUUUCUAAAAAGUUAUUAUUUUUUGAAGGGCGUUCGAAUACUUUCAUGAGCUGCUGUAUAUAUAAACAAGGGUUGGGCGGGCUUACACGAUGGUGUAAGAAAUGUCUGCUUUAACUCAAUUGCAAAUGAAUAUUAUGAAUAUCUGGGUUAACUUUUUCAAUGCUUUGGUGCAAGGCGGCCUGCAGCGCUUGCGUGUCGUGAAUUACUUUUCGUUUAAUUAAAUACUACAAUAACUAAUCGUAAUUAUUACAUAAACUUAAAGAUUCAUAUAAUUUCAUUAUGGUUACAUUUCUCAACUUUUUAACGACUUUAAUGUAGGUACAGGAUAACUGAGAGAUUCGAAGAUGCAAACAUCGAAUAUCUCGGAAAUAUCUAGGGCCGAGUGGCAGUUAUAUGCAUGUAUAGAAAAAAGUUGUUCAGAAUUAUGCCCCCGAUAACAUAUUCAAAAAUCAUCGACAUCGUUGUGUAAUAAGGACAAACUUCUAAAUAAUUACCAAAAAUUAGUCACAUGAAAUUAUGUCUCUUUUAAAACCAUUCAAAUUUUAUCUGAAACAUUUUUCAUAAAAAUCGUUAUUUAUGUAGUAAUUGAGAUGGUUUCAUUAUUCGUACCCCACACUGUAUACAUACUUGUACUUUUCCUUUUCAUUAAAUCUUCAUAAAAUCAUCAAAGCUUAUUGUUCAUAUUAAAUAAACAAUUAUUAUGAUAAUAUGGAUAAAUAAUGGUAGUUUUUGCGAGAUCGCGUCAACGAGAGUCGUAAAUUCCUGUUACGAUACGUUAAUCAACGCCACGAAUCAGCCGAUCCCCCAUUUCAAUUAAGAUAAUAGGGGCGGUUGAAAUGAUUAUAACACUGGGUUAACAGGUUUAAUAUACACUCUUAUUUCCAACAACUUUUAAGAAUACGAUUAAUUCGUAGUGAAGUAUUUUUCACGAAGAUAACAAUUUGAGAUGUUGACUGAUCGAAGAUGUAUUAACCAACUAGUAACUCGCUCUCAACUCGCUCUCAACUCUCUCUCGACUCAACUGACGAUUCGCGACUAGACUCUUGACUAACAACUGACUGUUAAUCAAUUUUCUCCCUCAAGUAUCCCAUUGUUGUCUUUUCAUAUCCCCACAACGCACGUGCUCCGUAACCAUCUGUGAUCAUGGUCAUGUACGCCUUCUUCCGAGUAACUAUUUGACUGAAGGACCGAAGGCAUAUUGAUGGAUCAGUAGGCCGAUUGAAGUUUACCAACCCUUUCGGUCUAUCGGCACUUACGUUUUAUCACAACACGGUAUAUAUUUCGUCGGUCUUUCUUAAACGAUCUUUCCGCGAUACUACAAUAAAUACCAAAGAAGCCGCUGAAAAAAGAAUUGUUGUGCCAGGGCUGCGAAACGCGUCGCGUUCAUCAUUUGUUAUACUUUUAGCAAGAUGACGGUUCCUUAGGAUUAUUGCGGGUCGAAAUAAGUAUGUUUAUACAGAUGGUGGCUAUCUUGACCGAGGGAUGGAUUAUGAUUUACGGUAGGUCCCGGGACGUAACAUAAAAUAAUAAAUAAGAUUUCAGAGAUAGGAAUAAAUAAGAUAAAGAAAAAAAAAUAUUUCAGAAAUUGAUAAUAUUUUCGUUAUGCUGUAGUAGAAAGUAAAUUGAUAAAUAAAUUUCAUUUUCGGCUUUACUUUUUAGUUACUGACAAUUAAUAAUCCGCCAAGAUACCCCUGCACGUGAGCAAACCUCCUUACACGAACGAAAAGAGGUCAGUCCAAGCAGCGGAGCGCUCAGUGAUGCUCAAUCCAAAUGUUGAUUUGACAUUUUGUAGGAGUUAUUGAAAAAUUGACUUUAGGUUUUCCGGUAAAUAUUCACUUCACAUCAUAAAAUGUCAAAUUAAUUCGUCUUUCCUAUGUUAGAGUUUUUUUAGAACAUAUUUCUAAUCUUUUUCUUCCCACGCUCAAAAUAUAUUACGAUCAUAAAAGGAAGAAUGAGAUAUUUCCGAAACCCAUCUGGUAAAGGGAAAGUCUACUUAUCUAAUGACCAUCUGUAAUAAAUCUUUAGCUAUGUGAGGUUUCCAGAUCGUGCAAAAUAAGUUUGCGCUUUUUUUGAACACAUCUGGAGCACAGCCUAUUCGCUUCCUCUAUACCAUAUCCUUGUUUCCAAAAAAAUUUCUCAAAUAUCAUAACCGUUCUGAGAUAAUACCGAGUUAUGCAACGGAGGUGAAAGCAUUGGCAAAGAGUAUUGUAAAUUUUUCUUUCGGAAUGAACUCUCCAUCACUACAAUGCCGUGUUUUAGACAUUUUGAAGCAAGGGCUAGAAUAGUUUUGGAAGAACAGAAUCAUUCUGACAGUCUACGAGAAACUUCCAAAGAAGUGAAAAUAAUAAGUUAGUUAUUUGGGCGUAUUGUGUGUGCAAUCUGCGUAGUGCGUGUAUUAUGCGGGUAAUGAGUGUUGUACAUAGUGUAGCAGUAUUUAUAUUGUAGCCAUAUUUAUUACAAUAUGUAUAAAUUUGGAGAACUUUCGAACAUGCACCUUUGCUACGGUGCGGCGGAUAGCAAUAGCACAAAAGCACAAAUUUUAUACGUCGAAAAAUAUCCCAAUAGGACUAUAUCCAGCGCAAAUAUAUUUUGCAAAAUAGACCAACGAUAAUGUACCGGGAUACCGGUACAUUAAAACCUGCUAAAUCUAGCGGACAAAUUCAGCACGAUGAUCCGGAUCUGGGAAAUAGAAUACUGCAUCGUAUGCAAGAAAAUUCAAGAAGAAAAGAUUUUUGCGAAUGGAUAUAACAUCAUUCUAUUUAUGAUACAACAUGUAAUAAAUGUGGAAUAACAAAUAUACGUAACGAACAUUUCUGGGCAUGUGAAAAUCCACACGCAUUAAAAGUUGACUCAUGCAGGAUGGUGCACCGUCACAAUUUACCAAUGCAGUGCAACAGUACUUGACCAGCUGUUUUGGAAACGGGUGGAUCGGUCGAAGAGGAUGUGUGCUUUGUUCUGUUAGCCAAGUUCUGUUUACAAGAAAGAGGAGAACAUGUUAAACAUCUAUUGUAAUUUGUUGUAUUUUUUGUAGACACUCGCGGCUGGGACAAUCGCGGUGCAUGUGUGAUUUUGUUGUAGACACUCGCAAAGGCAAAGAUUAGAGGAAACAUGAAUCAGCUCCUACUCGAAAAUUUUAUAGGGCGUUUUUCGAUAUUUUCUUAUAGGUUUCUACGAGUAAGUUUCGAUAUUUUCUUAUAGGUUUCUACGAGUAAGCAGGUUUAAUGUUCAUCUACCAUUUCUUUUGCGAAACAUCGUGCGGGGUUGUUUACGUCUGUGAAUACCAUGGUUUUCUUCUCUACGAUUUAUAUGAGGUAAGCGGUUAUCCAUGUGUGACCUUCGUUUGUCUAAGGUUUACGUGUAGGGGUAUUUUUAAUUGUCAAUAAUUAGAAGACAAAGCUGAAAACGCAAUUUUUUUACUCUUGAUUUUCAUCUUAUUUCGAUGUCAAGAAUCACCCCUCAAAUUUCUUGACAUCUGUAGCUGAACACCCUAUAUGCAUAAUUGAACUUAUAUGAAAACUUAACUGCUGCCGUCAAAUUGUUCAAUAUUCCAAAAGGCAACGUAAUGUAUACAUACACAUAUAUCAUUUCUAGUGUAACCGCGUAACCAUGUGUAAUGCAUAACCAGGAGGGUAUUUUUAUCACAAAUUUUUAUUUCUAUUAAUUUUACCACACUCGUCUGUGAUUUUACCAUCUUUAUUAUUUGGAUUCAAUUCCUAUACUGACUGCUAUAAGUCGCAGAAGGCGUGAGAAAUACUCUGCUUUUUUACGCGAUCAGUAUUUGAAAAUAUGGGACAUGAAGUUCGAUAAGAUGCAAGGUCUAUGUUGCAUACUCUGGUUUAGUUCAUAUUCUUUACCUUCAACACUUCCACCGGAGGAUGGCGUUAAACAUCGUAGUAUUCUACAUAUGUAUAACGGUUGAUUUAUGGUCAAAAUUUUACAACAUUUUAUAACAGUAUUAACAAUAUACAGAUAGAAUAUAUGGUCUUCUUUUUUGUUACGCCAGUGUCAGGUAUCAAAUGUUGCUUUUCAUCAAAAUAAAUAUUCCAUUAUUAAAUGCUCUUUUUAACAUGCCGAUCCGUAUCCUUAUAAUUCUUUAGAAUCUUCAACCUGAAAAUGUCGCUUUAAAAAAAAAAUUAAGAGCAAUUUGACAGACACUAUCGCGUUAUGAGUGUGAAAAUUGUGAUGUGGGUCUAUGUGACGUGCUGUGCUCUAAAAUAUAUCACACUCAAUUGUAGUAUUAAUUGUUACAGUAAAUUAUUAAAGUUAAAAUAUACGCAUCAUAUUUUUAAGAAAAAUUAUAAUUUAGUUAUCAAAAACUUCGUUCCAAUGUGCUUGCGUAGAGAACAGCAUUAUCCGUCACACAUUGCAGUGCUGUAUCGAUUACGCGUAAUUCGUGUCAACUUCUGCCGUACAGAAAAACAGCCUCGCACAAAAUUCAGCCAUAUUUUUGAUUGAUAGUUCUCCGCGACUUGUAAUUAUCGAUCGAGUUAUAUAUAAAGAUUUCGUGCUGGUUUAUUAUUUAAUAAGUCCUGCCAGAGGUUUUCUUAUAAAUUUUAAUACUUUAGAUUUAGAAUUUUUAAUUCAUAUUAGAUCAGUUGUUUGUUACAUUUUCGAAUAUAGUAUGCUUAAUCAUCAAAACAGUUUUUCCGUUUAUGUACUUCGCAAUUUUAAUUUAAAAAAUAUUUACUCCGCUAUAGUAAUGUUAUAUGUGUAAACAAUCUUAAAAAUACUUUCAAUCGCGUAAUUACAUUAUUUUUUUCUAUUGUAAUCUAUUUACUGCAUUACUACAUUAUUUAUUAUAUAUAGGUAUGUUGCGGGUAUUUUAUUUCAAAAUUGAGAUUAACCAACUCAGUUCUGGAAAUUAUUGUUGAGUUGUAAUUUUUAUGAUAACAAAAAUGUAAGAUACCUAUGUUUUCAAUAAAUUUCAUUUUUUCUUAAAAAUUACUGUCUUCUAUAAACAAAACUUAUUAUCCCUUUCAACAAUCCACAUUAUAUUGAUGUAACUCCACACUAUAUUGGUAUGAGUUAAAUGUAAUUAUCCCAUUAGUAUACGAAUACAUUAUAAACAAAAUACUAUAAAUGAAAAUAUUAUUUAGUAUAGAGAUGAUACAAACAAUUAACUAAAUGACGUUAGCUAUUGCAAAAUAAUAUGAUUUAUAUACAUACAUACGUAUCAGAAAGUACAAGAAUUUGUUACGUUAUAUGUGAUAUAAUACAUAUAUACAAGAAACACAAUUUAAACAUAAAAAAAUAUUUUGUAAAAAUAAUUAUAAGUGUAAAGAAUUGUUUAUUUUAUCUUUGACAUAAAGAUGAUAUACUUACGAUAUAUUACCUUUUUGUUUAGCAAAAAAAAGUAUUUUAAAAAUAUUUAAAUAAAACGCCAUUUGCUUUUCAUAUUAAGCAGCGUUGGUUUUUAUGCAGUUGCAUCGGUUAUCUGGUUAUCUGUAGUUGAAAGAAUGUUUCUGAUGUGAUAUUUAUAUACAUAAAUUGUAUGUGUUUAAUAUUGGACGUAAAGGCGAAAUUGUUUAAAUUUUAUGAACUGUUAUAUAGUUGUGAAAUACGUAUUAAUACGUAUUAAUCGUUUCUGUCAAGUAGUAGAUAACAUCGUUAGGAUGUUAUGACUUACAACUUAUGUGUACUUACUCAGCUACAUCUCGGAUAUCUUUUUGGAAAGUCACUGAAUCAAUCACAUAAACAAGACCUUUUGCGGAUAACUUGAAUUGAUCAAAAAAUUUAUAACGCAGACGUUCAUGUCCAGGUAUAUCAACAAUUUUUAAAGACCGCUAAAUAAAUUAUCACUUUAGAGGCCUAUGUUUCUGAUGUGUGUGUCUUAACAAAUUUAGAACAAAGUAGACGUGCAUAUAUCAGUGUUUUACCAGCAUCACUAAGACCAGUUAAUAAUAUACUAUUUCCUAUAGACCUUCUCCUGUGCCAUAUGGCAAAUAACACUAAGCAAAGGAAUAGAAUAGAAAUUUAUAUAAGUAGUAGUAAUGUUUAAGAUUGAGCUGUUAAUAUCAAACAAACGGCUCUACAGACGUAGGCUUAUGAAUUUUAGGAUAAAAGCCUAAGCAAAUAUUUACACAAAAAUGUACCUAUUUUUAUAUUAUGUAUACAAUUACAAUGGUAUGUUUGUUUCAUUACUUGCAGCUAUAUCUAUAAUGUUCAUUAAUUACUGUGGCUAUAAUGAUAUACAUUUUUUUUAAACAAAUGAAUAUGAUGUCUGUAGAAUGUUAGAAAUGAAACUAUGAGAUUGUUCAUGUUAUUCAUGGACAUCAUUAAAAUAUAACAAAAACUAUUUAAUAAUACAUGUGCAAAUUAAAAGAGGGAUAUGCUCUGUUACUCUAUAUAUAUGUGAAUUUCAAGUUGUAUAUAUAAUUUAGUAGUAUAAUUUAUCAAAAGCAUUUAAACAAACAUAUGUUUUGUUUUACUUGCUACAAAAAAAGAAAACUGUGAUGUUAUUUUGAAUAAUGUGAUAAUAAAAUCAGAAAACCUA